AAAAGAAACCAACAGGGAUUGCCCUAGUAACGGCGAGUGAAGCGGCAACAGCUCAAAUUUGAAAUCUGGCUCUUUUAGAGUCCGAGUUGUAAUUUGCAGAGGGCGCUUUGGCGUUGGCAGCGGUCCAAGUUCCUUGGAACAGGACGUCACAGAGGGUGAGAAUCCCGUACGUGGUCGCUAACCUUCGCCGUGUAAAGCCCCUUCGACGAGUCGAGUUGUUUG
rnacentral:rRNA from 13 species